rnacentral:rRNA from 1 species
GAUGAACGCUGGCGGCGUGCCUAACACAUGCAAGUCGAACGAAGCACCUUGGGAGAUUCUUCGGAUGAUCUUAUGGUGACUGAGUGGCGGACGGGUGAGUAACGCGUGGGUAACCUGCCCUGUACAGGGGGACAACAGCUAGAAAUGGCUGCUAAUACCGCAUAAGCGCACAGGAAGACAUCUUCCAGUGUGAAAAACUCCGGUGGUACAGGAUGGGCCCGCGUCUGAUUAGCUUGUUGGCGGGGUAACGGCCCACCAAGGCGACGAUCAGUAGCCGGUCUGAGAGGAUGAACGGCCACAUUGGAACUGAGACACGGUCCAAACUCCUACGGGAGGCAGCAGUGGGGAAUAUUGCACAAUGGGGGGAACCCUGAUGCAGCAACGCCGCGUGAGUGAAGAAGUAUUUCGGUAUGUAAAGCUCUAUCAGCAGGGAAGAUAAUGACGGUACCUGACUAAGAAGCUCCGGCUAAAUACGUGCCAGCAGCCGCGGUAAUACGUAUGGAGCAAGCGUUAUCCGGAUUUACUGGGUGUAAAGGGCGUGUAGGCGGGGAGGCAAGUCAGAUGUGAAAUCCCGAGGCUCAACUUCGGAGCUGCAUCUGAAACUGUUUUUCUUGAGUACUGGAGAGGAAAGUGGAAUUCCUAGUGUAGCGGUGAAAUGCGUAGAGAUUAGGAGGAACACCAGUGGCGAAGGCGGCUUUCUGGACAGUAACUGACGCUGAGGCGCGAAAGCGUGGGGAGCAAACAGGAUUAGAUACCCUGGUAGUCCACGCCGUAAACGAUGGAUACUAGGUGUGGGAGGUAUCGACCCCUUCCGUGCCGGAGUUAACACAAUAAGUAUCCCACCUGGGGAGUACGGCCGCAAGGCUGAAACUCAAAGGAAUUGACGGGGGCCCGCACAAGCAGUGGAGUAUGUGGUUUAAUUCGAAGCAACGCGAAGAACCUUACCAGGGCUUGACAUACCGAUGACCGGGUUAGAGAUAACCCUUCCCUUCGGGGCAUUGGAUACAGGUGGUGCAUGGUUGUCGUCAGCUCGUGUCGUGAGAUGUUGGGUUAAGUCCCGCAACGAGCGCAACCCCUGUUGUUAGUUGCCAUCAUUUAGUUGGGCACUCUAGCAAGACUGCCGGUGACAAAUCGGAGGAAGGUGGGGAUGACGUCAAAUCAUCAUGCCCCUUAUGUCCUGGGCUACACACGUACUACAAUGGCGACCACAGAGGGCAGCGAGACCGCGAGGUUGAGCAAAUCCCCAAAAGUCGUCCCAGUUCGGAUUGCAGGCUGAAACCCGCCUGCAUGAAGUCGGAAUUGCUAGUAAUGGCAGGUCAGCAUACUGCCGUGAAUACGUUCCCGGGCCUUGUACACACCGCCCGUCACACCAUGAGAGUUGACAACACCCGAAGUCAGUAGCUUAACCGCAAGGAGAGCGCUGCCGAAGGUGGGGUUGAUGAUUAGGGUG